rnacentral:tRNA from 1 species
GGCGAAUUGGUCAAGCGGCUAAGACGCCGCCCUCUCACGGCGGAAACAAGGGUUCGAUUCCCUUAUUCGUCA